rnacentral:misc_RNA from 1 species
AAAAUGAAACAUCGAUUUGUUGCUUGUUUGCAACAUUUCGGAGUUGGGUUAACUUUUGAUAUUCUCAAGUGACCUAAAAUUCAUUACCUCGGUAUGAUUAACGUUCUUAAAUGAUUUCGUUCUGAGUGCCGAAUUUAUUAGACGUGACUAUCUUAUAGCAUCACUUCUAUAAUUUUUGAA